rnacentral:sRNA from 1 species
ACGUAUAUUAUAUUGUAAAGUGAUCUAAGGCCUUAGAGUCCUAGUGUCUUCCGAUAUUUACAUUGUCAAUGCUAUUUUUAUCUCGCUUAGUGAGACAUCCAAGAGAUUCCUACAAAAACAUGAGUUUCACUGCAAAUCAUUGCCACGUAAUCAAGCAGCUCCUGAAUUUCAUAAAAAUAAACAUUAAGCUUAGCAUCUAGAAACACUUAAUUUGUAAUUAAAAUACCCAGAUAUGAAGUGUAGAUAUUUAUUUCAUUUGGUUUCUACGAAUUAAGUUUCAAUUCGAUAGCUUGAAAAAAAAAGAAGCGACACCUCAAUGAAACGGGAAUUUUUCUCUUACUGCUGACAGUAUAAAAACAGAUUCCUUAUAUAAAUGACAAUACACAUUUAGAAGUGUUAAUCUUCAUUCUAGGGACAAGAUUUCAACUAUCAAUAUAUAUAUACGUCUUUAUCAAUUAAUGGUUGUUUCACUAUUGAAAAAGCAAACAUAUUUAUAUCUCCAAUUAGUUUUAGUUCAUCUGGCAUUUCAUUUGAGAAAACAAAAUCACUAUUUCUGAUCGGAAAACAAAUUGUUAAAUAAGACAAUGUUGACUUGCAAGAGUUGCGCUCUUCUAGUGUUAUUAUUCACAUUUCUUCCAAGUGUUUCUGCAGAGCUUACGGAUGGUGAGAUUGUUGGAAUAGUGUUUGGCUGCCUCGGUUUCUUGGUUCUUCUGAUACUGUGCCUAUGCUGCUGUUGCGGUUACGGGGGCGCCAAGUGGGAGAAGUUUAAAAUGUGUUGCAAUCAGAGUUAAUCUUGUUUUUGAUAAUAAAGAGAAAAUAAAUAUUAGGAAAAAAA